rnacentral:rRNA from 1 species
UACAGAGGUCUCAAGCGUUGUUCGGAUUCAUUGGGCGUAAAGGGUGCGUCGGCGGCGCGGUAAGUCGGGUGUGAAAUUUCGAGGCUUAACUUCGAAACUGCAUUCGAUACUGCCGUGCUAGAGGACUGGAGAGGAGACUGGAAUUCCUGGUGUAGCGGUGAAAUGCGCAGAUAUCAGGAAGAACACCUAUGGCGAAGGCAGCUCUCUGGGACGGUACUGACGCUGAGACGCGAAAGCGUGGGGAGCGAACAGG